GACCCUGAGGUAUAUGUUUGCGUACAGUUUUGGGGGGCGAAAAUGUGAUAUUAGAGUAAUAGUUUCUGAUCGCCCCGUCUCUCUUUUUCUCUCUCUCACUGAAGGUGAUCCAGCUCGUUUCGCCCCACCCACACACGAUCCACCACUACAUACCUCAGGCCAAGACAGCACCCAAAAGCGUUUCAUUUUUUCUUUCUUUAGCAACAAUUCCCCGCCGGUUUCUCUUCAACUCUUUGCUUUCUUGGUGUCCGUUAUUCUGAAAUGCUAGUUUUGGGGAUUUUGUUCAGGCACAAUUGGACUGGUAUAUUAUGAAGACAAUAAUUCCUGAGGGCAAGAAUAAUCCAGUUGGACUCGAUGUGCUGAAGCUCUCAAGAGAAUUAGGAAUCAUUAGUUACCCCAAUACUUGUGCUGGUGGGAGGCAACAGGUGCAAUUGAGGAGGGGUGGCAAAUGGGCUGUAUUUGGGCUGAUCAAGAUCGGCUAAUUCAUUAAAUGAGUCAUUGUCCAACCCUGCCCAAAGUUCACUUGGGUUUGUCCAACCCUGCCCAAAGUUCACUUGGGUUAAGAAGGGAUGUGUCAAGAUGGGCUAAACAAUGAGUUGUAACCUAAUUCGCCCAAAUUGACCCAAAUAUUUGUAAUAUUCUCAACUUUUAAACAUAUAAAAUAUAG